GGAGGUGUCCCCUCAAAUUCUGUUAUCCAAAAUUCUCAACCUUAACAUUUUAAAAGGAAAACAAAGCAAAUUGCUGAAUCCAAACCAAAACUUAAGCUAGAUGUUGAUGGGCAACUUGAAAGCAGCAGCAGCAGCUUCACCACUAUUACUUCAUCCUCAAUUGAGUGUCGCAGUAGGCAAAAGCAGGGGUGUCGACGCAACGCCAAGAAUUGUUAGCGUCUCUGCUUCAAAAUCUGCUGGAUUUUCCAUUAACUCGGUAUGUUAUUGCUAUGAUUCACAUAAAAUUUUUCGAGCUUAUAUUUAUGUUUCUAUGGUUUUCAACUGCACUAUAUUGCGAAAAUUUUCAAGCUUAUAUUUAUGUAUCGAGCAGUGAAAUUUCUGUAGGGCACAAUAUUAUCUAUUAAUACGAAAUAGUUUAUUUUAAGAAUUGGAAUACCAAAACUAACGUAAAUGCUAAUGCAAUCAACUAAUUCAAAUUGAUCAAUUUGGGAAUUGUAUUUUCUGGGAUCCAUUUGAAUCAAGAAUAUUAGAGUUAUCUCGUUGAACGGUUUCAAUUUUUGAUGAUCUUUCUAGAUUCGGUGUAGGCACGGUUAAAAGUCCUGAUUUAUUUAAAUUAGAUUUUCAGAGGAGCUCAGCAGCGCCUGUAGCUCAGUGGAUAGAGCGUCUGUUUCCUAAGCAGAAAGUCGUAGAUUCUUAAUGGUUGUAAAACAUGUGGAGGCAAAGGUGCAAUAGAGUGUCCAGGGUGCAAGGUAUUAUUAAUCAAUUUUUUUUUCUAUAUUAUGAUAAUUUAAUAUCACAAGGUAGAUUUUGUAUAUAUAUUAAAUUAAUUUUAUAAAAGAGGAAAAUAUUUCUCUUAUGAUAUAUUAUUAGAAUUUAAAAUAUUUAUUAACAAGAAUGGAAAAUUAAUAUAUUUACCAAUUUGAUUGAUCUAAGAGGUUAAUCAACAUGUCAUUUGCAACUAAAAUCAUUAAGAAUUAGUUUUCACUUGCAAAUGAUCCAAGCAUUGAAAUGAAGAUUAUGUUGAUGCAAAUAAAUAAUUAAAUUAAA
rnacentral:misc_RNA from 1 species